GCGGUCACAUGGCCGAGAGUGCUUGCGGGCCAUGGGUCUGGUUGGGCCCGCAGACUCGGAGUGCGGGCCUGACCAGUCUCAAGACCUGCGUGGUAACUCUGCAGGGACGGCCUCA
rnacentral:precursor_RNA from 7 species